GUCUUGCUCCGCCUCCCGUAACUCGGUAGAUGAGCACGGCCACAGGGCGAUGCAACAUAGUACGGGCCAAAAGCCACACGCCCGCGUCCGUUUGGAAAUGGCCAAGGAGUUGGGACGUUUACCGACUCUUAUGGAACUUUUCGAUCGGACCCACAAGAACAAGGCGGGCGCAUUUGUAGAUGAGAAGUCUGAGAAGAUCUACAAUGAUGUGGCAGCUCGUAUUGACGAGCGUGAGACCCAGCUGGCGCAGUAGUCCACCGACGGAUCACCCGUCGUCUUAUCCACAAUAGAAGUGGAUAGAAUUUACGAGGAGGUCGCUCCCAAGAAAAAGGGACGUGUGUUGGGGAUUGGUUCCGUCAACGAUGUUCCGAGAGCGACUUCCUCUUAUGGCCAGAGACGGGAUGAUGAAGU